CCCAACCAUCAAACUGUUCACCGACGGAGACAGAAACAACCCCAUCGACUUCACUGGGAAGAGGACAGUGCAGGGUAUUGUCCAGUGGUUGAAGAGGCGGUCAGGUCCUAGUGCCGUGUUGUUAGAGACGACUGAUGCCGCUUCAGAACACAUCAGCCUUCACAACGUUACAGUGCUGGGGUUCUUCACUAGUCUGGAGAGUGAGGAGGCCAAGGUGUUCUAUAGUGUUGCCAUGGAGAUGGUUGACAUGGUGUUCGGGGUGACAACCAGUCCAGAGGUCUUCCAGAAAUAUGAAGUAAAGAACAAUAGAGUGGUGCUGUUC